rnacentral:rRNA from 1 species
UGGGGAAUUUUGGACAAUGGGCGAAAGCCUGAUCCAGCAAUGCCGCGUGUGUGAAGAAGGCCUUCGGGUUGUAAAGCACUUUUGUCCGGAAAGAAAUCCUUGGCUCUAAUACAGUCGGGGGAUGACGGUACCGGAAGAAUAAGCACCGGCUAACUACGUGCCAGCAGCCGCGGUAAUACGUAGGGUGCAAGCGUUAAUCGGAAUUACUGGGCGUAAAGCGUGCGCAGGCGGUUUGCUAAGACCGAUGUGAAAUCCCCGGGCUCAACCUGGGAACUGCAUUGGUGACUGGCAGGCUAGAGUAUGGCAGAGGGGGGUAGAAUUCCACGUGUAGCAGUGAAAUGCGUAGAGAUGUGGAGGAAUACCGAUGGCGAAGGCAGCCCCCUGGGCCAAUACUGACGCUCAUGCACGAAAGCGUGGGGAGCAAAACAGGAUUAGAUACCCUGGUAGUCCACGCCCUAAACGAUGUCAACUAGUUGUUGGGGAUUCAUUUCCUUAGUAACGUAGCUAACGCGUGAAGUUGACCGCCUGGGGAGUACGGUCGCAAGAUUAAAACUU